AUUUUUAUACGACCGCAAAAAAAUUUUUGUGGUCGUAUAUUGGUAUGAAGUUGGCGUCGUCGUCGUCGUCGUCGUCGUCGUCGUCGUCCGGCAUCGUCGUCCGAAUACACAUUAGUUUUCGCACUCUAACUUUAGUUUAAGUGAAUGGAUCUCAAUGAAAUUUUACCAUAAGGUUCAAUACCACAAAAGGAAGGUGAUGAUUGAUUUUGGGGGUUAUGGUACUAACAGUUAAGGAAUUAGGGGCCAAAAGGGGCCAAAAAUAAGCAUUUUUGUAACUUCCAGACAUAACUUGUGUGUAAGUGUAUGGAUCUCUCUGACAUUGUACCACAAGGUUCCAUAUCACAAAGGGAAUGCUGGGAUUGAUUUUGGGGGUAAUUGCCUCCAAAUUUUAGGAAUUGGGGGCCAAAAAGGGGCAAAAAACAAGCAUUUUUCUAGUUUCAUGACAAUAUCUUGUUUGUAAGUGUAUGGAUCUUUAUGAAAUUUUACUACAAGGUUCCAUAUCACAAAGGGAAAGCUGGAAUUGAGUUUGGGGGUAAUUGCCCUAAAUGUUUAGGAAUUUGGGGCCAAAAAGGGGCCAAAAAACAAGCAUUUUUCUAGUUUCCAGACAAUAACUUGUGUUCAAGUGUAUGAAUCUCUCUGAAAUUGUACUGCAAGGUACCAUACCACAAAGGGAAAGCUGGGAUUGAGUUUGGGGGUGAUGAAUCAUAAGGGGGUUCAAAAAAUUGGGGGGGGGGAUUUUUUUUUCCUUUUUUUUCUUUAACAUUUUCCAUUUUAAAUUGGUUAUUUCUGAUUUAUAUAUAAAAGCAAAUAAUAAUGAUAUGGUUUGAAUAGGCAUACAUGUGAACCUCCCGACGGGAGUACAAUAAUCCCGUUUUCAGGGGUCUCCUCCCGACCUCCCGUUGAAGAGGAAAAAAUCCCGUGUAUGAAAUUUUUCAUGAAUGAAAAAUUUCUGCCCAACAUAUCAUCUCAGGCAUCUGGUGUAACUGACAUUACCUGAAGUUAUAUUUUACCUGUAAAUCAAUUAACAUGCAUAAUUAUAUGGCUUCACUUGUCAGCUUGGGUGUCAAACAUACAGGUAAUCAACGAUUUUUACCUCAGGCUAACUGCCGUUGUGUAACAAAAACUGUGUAUUUAUUGGGUUACUUCCCUUGAUUUAUCCUGUUUUAAGUUACUUUCCUUUUAAUAAUGAAAAUUUUUAAAAGAAUAUAAAUAAAAUAUAAAUUGAACAAAUAAUCAUAAAAGGAUGGUUAUUAAAUGAUUUUAAAUGUCUUAGGACAAAUAAAAAAAUAAUAAUUUGAAAAUUAUUUGAGGAUUCUAGACUUCCUAUCAAGGCUUAAAUUGAAAUUUAUAUAAUAACUAUGACCCUAAUUUUACAGAUAAAAUGAUUUUCUGAGUUUGCAAAUAAAAACUAUUUGCAAGAGAAAAAAAAAAAAUAAAAACUAUUUGCAGAUAGCUAAACAAAUGUUCUG